UUGAGACUGUCUUGGAACAGUCAUUUGAAGUGACUGUCAAGGCCAAAAAAAAAAAAAAGAAGAAGAAUCAACAAAGACAACAAGAGUGGAGAUGAAGUGACUCUGCUAGGUGGAGUUAUUUAGCGAAGAGCAUUCUCUCCCUUUAUUAUGCAGCUGCCUCUGCUUUAAAAACAGAGCAGUGCUCCCUCCUUACCAGUCUUAAAGCAUAGGGAGUGGGAAUUCAGAAUUUUCACUCCAAUUCAAUCUUCUUCCCAUGGAAAUGGAAUAAUGGAAAAUGAUUCUGCAUUCAUCAGGCCUUGUAUAAUAGACACUGACUCCACUGUUGAUGUCUGACUUCUGAGGCUUUUAAGCCUCUUCUGCUUGUGCCCCCCAUGUGGGUGAACUUAUAGAAAGCUCCAGCACUCCAUCCUUUGAUGCCAGCAGGAAGGUCAAACCCCACCAGCCGCUGCUCACCUGCAGGAACCGCGCACCCUGGCCUCACCUCCACCACAAUAAAAACCCACAGCUGUUUCCUCUCCUUGCUCUCUCAAGCCAUUUUGGAUAAACUUGGGGCUUGCCCUGCUCUCUCCAGAAAGACUCAUUAUAAACUUUUACAAGCUUUGUGGCAGAAUUCUUGGUUGAAAGUUGUGAAAGGAUUUUGAUCUAAAAUGGAACCAGAGGAUGUGAAACGGAGAAUCUCACGCAAGUGCCCUCAGAAGAACAGACCUUAAGAACUGAGAGACUGAUUUCCUGUAAAUGCCUGAUUCACAGAAGACGGAGACUUAUCUCCUGACCAGUGAACGUCCACCAAGAGUCUCUCCCCAUCCUCAAGCCAGGGAACUUACUGCUUGGACUCUGGCUGGACUUCCCCCCGCUUUGUAUUCCCUGCCCAUAAAUACAGCCCGCCCCAAACCCUCCAUGGACAAGCCUGUAGUUUGCUACAGCAUGUGUUUCCCAGAUUGCAAUUCCUCUGCUAAUACCAAAUAAACUCAAUUUCUGGUAAUUUGAGCUUGUUUGUUUACUUCUUUAUUUAGGUUGGCAAAGUUAUAGAAGCCAAACUCAAACUAGCUUAGGCAAAAUAGGAAAUCCACUUACACGGGUAACUGGGACGGACAAGGGUGGAAGCAGGAUUCAGGCACAGCUCUCUCCAAGGUUUCGCAUAUCCUCAGGGCUCACUCUGGGUCCCUAUCUCAGCUCUUUUCCCUCUGUACGCUGCCUCUUUUUCUCUUAAGCACACAGUUGUUUCAUGUAGCCAGGAAAGAUGGCCUUUUGCAGUUCCA
ensembl:lncRNA